rnacentral:misc_RNA from 1 species
AAUCUAUCAACCGCUUUAUUGCGGUUGGAUAUGGGUCCUUUGAGACUUCACAGCCUCAAUGACCUGAAAUGAAAUGUUACGCAUCCUUGGACUAACAGUUCUUGGGCAUACGCAUGAAUGAGGCAACUCACAAGUACGUCUGUUCUCAUGGAAUUGUCGGUUUGAUUGGACUGGGUAACUCAACUAUUAUCCAGAGUUGGACGACGUCAGUCAGCCUUCUUUGAAC